rnacentral:tRNA from 3 species
GCCUCCUUAGCUCAGAGGCAGAGCACUGGUCUUGUAAACCAGGGGUCGUGAGUUCGAUUCUCACAGGGGGCA